rnacentral:lncRNA from 12 species
CUCGAAUCAGCCAGAGAAAGAGCUGAAGGGCCCAGCAUGAAGUCUCUGUUCCCAAGAGGUGGUGUGGUACCUGGGGAUCAUUAUGACAACAUACACCACCUAGGGCGCCCUCUAUGGAUGACAGCUCCUCCUAGUUCAUAAAUCUGAAGUUUAUCUAAAGUUUUCCAGUGUUUUCAAAUUUGGCACCCCAGCAGCAACAGCCCAUGAACACCAGCUCUGCAGACUCAUGUACACACUUGAUAAGAUUCGCCCUGGAGCUAUGCUGCCAGUAGUCACCGGAGCUGAUGCGCGGAGCCCAGAAGAUCCGUUGUCUAAAAAUGAAGAGGAAACCCACUAUUUUCCACAAGGGCCCUGCACUGCAGACAGUCUAAACGUGAACAGAGAAGCGUGCUUCCAGAAAUUGGAACAAAGUCCUGGGAAAGCAGAAGGAACUGGCUUAGACACGGAUUUUGAUUCUAGAAUGGACGUUGGUGAGGAACAACACAGGAGGGAGCAAACUACUGGGCUUGAGUCUAAGAUCCACGAAGGGGUGAGCAAGACAUGUCCUGUAUUCAUGCACCACCCACCAUGGACCAGCAUGGAGCAUAUGUCUCAAAGACCCUAAGGCUUUCGCCAAGGUUAUCAUCUCCAGCUGCACCUUCCAGCUUCCACAUAAUGAAAUUUGGGGGAGGAUGGAGACUCCAUACAGUGAGAAGUUUUUCUAAGAAGGUUCUAGAACAUGUCUCACUGGCUCUGUGCAGAGGGGACUUUCCUCAUCAGAGCCAACCUUCUAGGAAACCACGUAUCCAGCAGUCUAUACAGUGAUUUUUAACAAAACUCUAUAAAGUAAUGAAAAGUUGCUUUCUCACUUGUAUCAUAGAUAAAUAUUAUAUAAAUAAUUAUAGAUAGUCAUCGAUCUAUUUAGAAAAACCAGUUAGGCACAUCAAAUUUCUACAAUUCUAGUCAGCAGUGAAGCUUCACAUUGUAGUUAUUUCUAUGCUCCUAUCUAAGCAAUUGUGUUUUAGUUGUUGGAAACAUCUGUUAAAUAGUUCAGAGACCUCCUUUACUGUCUUCUCUGAUCAGGAGUCUGUGAAUCACUUACGUAAAGAGCCCUCCUGCUAAAACCCUGUCUAAGUAGAGUCAGAAUGGCAAACAAGACUCCUACUACAAUUAAAUGCUGCCAGAACUGGGGAGAGAAACCAAUUCUUAUCCACUCACUUAUUUGGAUAAGGAUUUCCUAAUCUACCGGGUGGUCACCUUGGAAAAUUACAGGCUGGCCAGUGAAGGAAUGAACAAUGGAGAGAUGGGGCUUAAUGAAGCGUCCAUGGGGACGUCACUCUCAGAGUUGACUUGUGAGAGAUUCCAUAGCGAACCUUGCUGGAUGGAUACACAGGGGCAGGCAGAGGGAUCCUAGGGACCAGAGAAAAGGAUUUUAGAAGCAAAACCCCAUGCCCCAAGCCUUCCUUGGACCCCUAGAAAUCUAAGCAUUUAGAUGAGCUCCGUCUCUGAUAACUCCAUAAUGAGUCAGUUGAUGAGAAGUAUUCCAACAGGUUUCCAGGGAACAUCAUAACCAAGUGGUUUUGUGCAGAUGAUGAAGAACAACUUUUUAUCUCUUUGGAAGUAAGA